UCACAGAAGGGAGCAUUCUAGUCCCAUGGUUCUUGAUUUACAUAGUGUCAACAGAUUUAUACUGAACUUGUACCUAUCUGUCAUUUCUACUGACAAAAUCAUAAUUCAACUUUGGUUUGGUAGAGGAUUAAACUUAAAUUCGUUAUACUAGCUGUUGUUUGAUGGCCCUCCUUUUUCCAUUUCAAAAAUUAUUUAGCAAUGAAAAUCAACAUGUAUGUAGAGUCUAUCAGAUGACAUACUGCUUGAUGGCGUCCUUCUAGUGAUGCAGACAUGUAGGAAUGGACCUUUCUUAAUUCUACAGCUAGCUUCUCUUGAGCAUUCCAGCUCAACAUUCUACUGUAUUAAAGGGUUAUCCUGUUCUUCUAUCCACACAAAUUUACUUCCCUACGUAAGUUGCCUAGAAAACUUAGUAUAGAACCUGCCAUUGGCAGGCAAAGUCUUUGUUUGCAGUGAGUGAAAUAUUAAUCUUAGUUAAUAAGUGAAGGAAUAGGGUAAACAUGUUGUAUACAUGUUUGAUUGUUUGAAGUUAUCAUUCUACCCUUAAAUCACCAACUGAUAUGGUUAUAAUUCACAGAUGAUCAGAUUGCCCAUCUUAAUAGUGAGAUGAAGCAUUCAGGAAGGCAUGCUAGAUUUCCUUAUUCUCAUUGUGAUCAUGUUGAAAAUUGUUGUACUACACAUAGUUGGCAAUAUUAUUGAGGACACUACACUGCUUCCCUCCUAUUGAUGUUUUGUCCUCUCGGACCUUAAAUCCCACACUUUCAUGUAAAGUUAUAUUAUGUUACCCCAAUAAGUUUGCUUUUGUAACUGAUUGAAGCUCAUUCUCAGUGGCAAACAUAUUCACCAGUCACCACUGAUGGGAAUAAGCACGUCAGAUCAAAAUUGUUGCUGUGAUUUCUCAGUAUAUAUUAGUGCUCAUAUUUUACUUCUAAAGUGGUUCUGUUGUUGUUCUGCAGAAGUGAUACACAACAUCUCUGCUUUUUCUAAACCAGAUAAUUCGUCCCUUCUCCCAAAUGGAUAUUGAUGAAAUCAGGUUGUAAGAUUACUACACAAGUAGUGUUCCCGAAAGAAUACAAGUUUUCAUCCACGUCAGGUGUUCAUUUUGUAGAUACAUUAUUUUAUUCUUUGAGUUAACUCAUCCUAUCUUUGUUCUUAGUUGAUCUCCACUAAGGUCACUCUCAAUCCUGUGACUCCUAGUCUCAUACAAGUUGUUCAAGGCUGACAAUAGUUGUAGAUGAGUGCAGAUAAUGAUCAUUUCUGAAGCAAACUGAUAUGAUAAGGACUAUUUCCUGUGGUCUCACAUGAGUGCAUGAACAAUGGAAAUGAAAGUUCAGUUGCAAAGUGGCCCUUCAUUGUUGUCAAACUCACAUUAAUACAGAUAAAGCUUCAUGGUGGAAGCACUUGUGCCACUACCCAGACAUACUAGCAGGGGCACUUUCUGCUGUCAAUCUCUGCCCGAUUGUAUUGCUGUCAAAAUAAUUAGUGCAUGACAGGGCCUCGGUAAAAUCCUGUUUGUUGGGAAAGAUGGCACACCCAAAACUGUUGGCUGGCAAGCCUUUUCCAGGUUACUAGAUUUGCAAAAAGGUUCUGGCUGCUUGCCUUCUGCGUCCACCGACCACGGAGGCACACGCCCUGAGUGGUGGGCCAACCGUUCUUCCUUUCCCAAUUUGGGGUCACCACUCACUCUUCUAUGAUUCCUAGGUCCCACCCCCACCAUGAGCAAUCUUGCAAUGCGUCCAUAUUUCAAACGGGCCACAAUGAGGUGGUGUACAUAGCAGUCUUAGAAAUACUGGCACGGCUGCUUGGAGUACAGGGUUCAACUACUAGUCUCUAGUGGAAAGGUAUAACAGAGCAUUAUUCAGUUCAAAAUGCCUGGGCAGUCACCUAGGUUGCACCUUCAACCUGUGCGUUUCGUUGGAUGUCAAUUGUCAAGCUUAAUCAUAGCUUCCAUUUCCUGACUCGAUGGUUUGGUUUCCCCACUCUUCAGUGCUGUUUAUCCACUUUGCUUUCGCGUAAUGAACUCUUCUUCCAUUUCAGGAGCCCUAACACUAGUGUUGUAUAUACUCUUACUGGAAGCAACCAAGCUGGGAAUCCUUGGAUUAUUCCUAAUCUACCUGGACGGCUGGACCAAUUACAUGCGAGUGCUCCUAUUUCAAGUCGUCCCUAUUCCUCCAGACAGGCCAGAUACCCGUAGAACUUUUAUUUGAUGCUGGUGAUUGAAUACUACUUUA